rnacentral:lncRNA from 1 species
GAACACUUACUAUAAAACGUAUGCUGCGAACAAAAACUAAUCCAACAAAAAACUUCCAUUACCAAUGGCAUCAACACUUUUCGUAUUCCUCACCUUCACAACAACAUGCUUUCUCUUCUUAUGUACAACAUCGGCAGACAAUGGCUUCCUAGAAAGUCCAUGUCGAGGUAGCUUUUAUGAGGAUUAUUGUAUGGAAACAAUCGGAAAAGACCCAGAAUUUGUAGCAUGUGAGAUGGAUCAAUGGUGUAUGGCGAAAGUUGCAGUCAAGCGUGCGACUCAAAACUCAACGGAUACCCAAAGGAAAGUCGAGGAGAUGCUCUAUAAGACCAUUCCAGCUCCACGGGCAAAUUGGGUGAAACCAUUGAAAACAUGUGUUGAUAUAUAUGGUGGUAUCACCCAUUUUUUGAACGACUUGUUACAACAACUGAAUUCAGACAACAUACCCAAUAUUCGUUUCCAUCCCAGCACAGAAAAGUGCAGCGCGGUAUUUCCGGGAGGAAGAGACGCAUCUCCUUUGAGGAACAUGGAUACAUCUCUUGGCAUCAACUUGGAAAUUGCUGUUGAGUUUUGUGAUUUAAUUGAAGAUUAAUUGUAAUCACUACUAUGUCAGAUUUAAAUAAUAAAAUUAUGAAAUAACCAUUCAGAGUGGAUAUUUUUCUACAUAUAAUGUAGGUAAUGAUAAUACAAGAACCCGCAUGCGAGAUCUUAUCGUCGGAGACAAGAUCCAACAAGAAGGCUAUAUCAUUCAAGAGAAGAUGAGCCUCGGAAGCUCAGAUGGAUAACCUGGUGAAGUAGGACGAAGCAUAAGCAGGAUAAGGGGAACAUUGGAAUUGAAUAUGAAUAAAAAAGAAUUUGGAAUUUUUUGACCUUUGUUAUGACCUUCUCCUAAAUCAAAAGCCUCCUCCCAAAAGACCUCAGCCGAUUUUCGAUCCAAGGGAUUUACAUCUCGCUACUACCUGCUUCACCCCGUACAUAUUUGCAAUCGAAAUUUGGUCUGGUAAAACAUCUAAAAUGGCCAUCGUCCCAUGGUGCCUUCAGUGGAAUAAGUUGGUGACUUUCUGAGGUGAUAGGCACAAAU